rnacentral:rRNA from 1 species
GUAAGUACGUACGUACUAUACGCGAUAACAACAGAUGAUGCCUAUCAACUGUUUAAAAGAUGGUUCUGCUAUCACUCUUGGAUGGACCUGCGGUGCAUUAGCUAGUUGGUAGGGUAACGGCCUACCAAGGCGAUGAUGCAUAGCCGAGUUGAGAGACUGAUCGGCCACAUUGGGACUGAGACACGGCCCAAACUCCUACGGGAGGCAGCAGAC